CCCUUAGAUGUUCUGGGCCGCACGCGCGCUACACUGAUGCAUUCAACAAGCCUAGCCUUGACCGAGAGGUCCGGGUAAUCUUUGAAACUGCAUCGUGAUGGGGCUAGAUUAUUGCAAUUAUUAAUCUUCAACGAGGAAUGCCUAGUAAGCGUGAUUCAUCAAAUCGCGUUGAUUACGUCCCUGCCCUUUGUACACACCGCCCGUCGCUCCUACCGAUUUAAUGUGUUGGUGAGGAGCUCGGAUUGGCAGCAGUUGGUGGUUCGCCACCGGCUAUUGCUGAGAAGUCCUCCAAACCGCCCCAUUUAGAGGAAGGAGAAGUCGUAACA
rnacentral:rRNA from 1 species